rnacentral:hammerhead_ribozyme from 1 species
UGCUGAAGAGUCCCACAAUAGGACGAAACAGCUGUCUA